CGCUGGCGGCGUGCCUAACACAUGCAAGUCGAACGGGUGAUUUUCUUCGGAAGAUCACUUAGUGGCGAACGGGUGAGUAACGCGUGAGAAACCUGCCUUUCAGUGGGGGACAACAGUUGGAAACGACUGCUAAUACCGCAUAAUGUAUUUUGGGGGCAUCCCUUGAAUACCAAAGCUCUAUGUGCUGAAAGAUGGUCUCGCGUCUGAUUAGCUAGAUGGCGGGGUAACGGCCCACCAUGGCGACGAUCAGUAGCCGGUCUGAGAGGAUGAACGGCCACAUUGGGACUGAGACACGGCCCAAACUCCUACGGGAGGCAGCAGUGGGGAAUCUUCCGCAAUGGGCGCAAGCCUGACGGAGCAACGCCGCGUGAGUGAAGAAGGUUUUCGGAUCGUAAAGCUCUGUUGAGAGGGACGAGAGAUAUAAUCAGGAAAUGGGUUAUAGAGGACGGUACCUUUCGAGGAAGCCACGGCUAACUACGUG
rnacentral:rRNA from 1 species